rnacentral:rRNA from 1 species
AGAUUGAACGCUGGCGGCAGGCCUAACACAUGCAAGUCGAGCGGUAGAGAGGUGCUUGCAUCUCUUGAGAGCGGCGGACGGGUGAGUAAUGCCUAGGAAUCUGCCUAGUGGUGGGGGAUAACGUUCGGAAACGGACGCUAAUACCGCAUACGUCCUACGGGAGAAAGCGGGGGACCUUCGGGCCUCGCGCCAUUAGAUGAGCCUAGGUCGGAUUAGCUAGUUGGUGAGGUAAUGGCUCACCAAGGCGACGAUCCGUAACUGGUCUGAGAGGAUGAUCAGUCACACUGGAACUGAGACACGGUCCAGACUCCUACGGGAGCAGCAGGUGGGGAAUUAGUGGACAAGU